GCCCCCGCGCGCACACCUGCGAGGGUCACACAAAGGCGCGGGACUCCCAGCGCACGGCGGCGCAGACAAAGGCGCGGCCAAGCCCGCUGCCCCCUUCCUUUGCCCGCGCCCGGUGCGAGGCUGCCAGGCCACCUGGCUCCUCCGAGCAGCCCGCUGCCGCCCUAGGCCCCGCAGGACUCAAGGCGCCCCACGCCGGCGGGACCCCUCAACCACAAGCGCGCACACGGAUGCCUGGACUCACCCAGACAGACACAUACACUCAAGUGUUUAUACAUAGGGGCCCCAGCACUUCACACACACGUGUGCACACGCAGUCACAUGGGAACCCUCUAUGUGCCCAGGGUCUUAGACCAACCCUCCCUAUCCACCAUCCCUAACUCCUGUGUACAGAACCCCCUCCGCUCCCUCAGUGGGCACAAGGGCACAUCUACACAGGUGUGUCCAGGCACGCCUCCUGGCCCUGUGGGCCAUGCUCACACCCAUGCACCUUCAGGCAGGAUAUAACACACAGGCAGACCUUCAUGAGUGCCCUUCCUUCUGCACACAAGACCCUGUGAACCCAGACCCUCCCAGGCAGGCAGACCCACUCACUGGGGAUGACCAGCAGUUUUUACAUCUGUACACAGAGGGGACAGUUCCCAGCUAUCUACACACCACAACAUCCCAUACCUCCAGAGACCACAUAGCAUUAACCCAGCUUCAACUCAGACCUCCUGCCUCCGGGUCCACCACCCCACCCCCCACCCCCAUCUCUCUUUCAGAUGCAGGGUGUCUGUACAUGAGGGCCUUCGGACAGCAGUCUUGUGGCACAGACAGCAGGGAAGUCUGCUCAGGAACAGCAAAUCUCACAGUCCACAGGCCCACUCCCGCAGCCCUGAGUCUGGAUAUUCAGCAAUACAGUGGACUCUCUCUGCCUUAUCAAUUCUCGGCGGAAGGUAGGCCAACCCUUCCAUUGCUUUUGAUUCAGAUGUUUCCUGUGUCCCUUGGUGCCACACCCUGGGCUGGGGUCUGAGGGCCUAGAGAUGAGCUGGGCUGAACCCUGCCUGAUGAUCUGAUGGAAGACAGAAGGUGGGCAGUGUGGUAUGGAAGGCUUUGUGAGGAGGUGGCGUUUUCAUGGCAGUCCGGAGCUAUUCGUGAGGCAAAGGAUGUGGGGAAGUGCACUGCAAACAACAAGAACAGAAGAGGUAGGAAGGGAGGCGUGUAUGGCUUGGUACAGGGCAAACGAGGUGGAUAUAGGAGACUGAGGUGGAGAGGCAGAGCAGACCCCAGGGCCUUGCAGGCCAAGUAAGCAUUUUGGAUUUUACUGCAAGCACAGCAGGAUGCCACUGGGAAGGUCUCAAGCGGAGAAGUGAUGUGAUUCUGUGAAUGUUUUUGUAGACAAUACGGGGUGCUGUGGGAGGCCAGUGAAGGGCCACAGUGUGAGGGAGGUCAGCUGUGAGAAAUGCGUGGUUUCUACAUGAGAUGGAGGGGAUGGUGGCUGGGACCAGGGUGGUGGCGGGGGUGGGGUGGGGAGGAACACGUGUUCCUAGGAGCAAUUUUGACAGUAGACUCAACAGGAUUGGUGAUUUGCUGAAGGUGGGAGUUGGGGGAGGAGUCAAGAAUGAAGCCCAGGAACACAGAAGUACCUCUGUUGCCAUCGAAAGGUUGAAGAGAAGGGAGACCUCAAGCUGGGAUGAGAAAGAUCCAGGCAAGGUGCCAUACAAUGCCUCGAGGCUGGAUUUGAUGUUAUAGGUGGAAGAUUUUUGAGCAGGGACAGUGUGUGCAAGACAUUCCAUGGCAUGAGGAUAGGCUAGUGGGUGGAAUCUGGAGUCAGGAUGAGUAGAGAGGAGGCUGGGACAAUAGGUGAGAUGACAGGGAGAUUGGGGCCAUGUGGGUCCACCUUCAUGGGAAAUUCUUUUUUUUUUUUCCUUCACGGGAAAUUCUACAGGACUCUAGCGGGCCUGCAGGUGGAUGACUGGUCACAUGGCUGGGUAAACACUGAGACCAUCAUCAGUGGACAGUGGGAAGGAAAGCAGGCUGGGAGAAGACGCUCGGGUCAGUGCUGGGGGUGAGGUCAGGAAGAGGCCUCUCGGAAGCAGCAAGGUCUAUGGACCAGGAAGCCAACAGAUGCUUAAUAAAUUCACAUGGACACAGCA
rnacentral:lncRNA from 12 species